GUCAAAACAGUCCCUCCCUCCGGAGCUUUGAUCACACAACAGUUUUGUAACCAUGUUCUCUCAGAAAGUUCCAUAGUCCACCCGUCUAGAACAAAAUAAAGUGAUUUCCAGAAAGAAUUUUAGAACCAGAAGGAAACUUAGAGAUGAUGAGCACUUAACACCUGGAUUUCACAGGUUUAUUAUGGCACAAGAAUCAUCGUUUCAAGAACUUCUUGGCAGAAUCUGAGGAUGAUGCAGCAAGAAGGCCCUCACCAGAUGCCAGUACAUUGAUAUUGAACUUUCCAGCCUCC